rnacentral:rRNA from 1 species
UACGUAGGGUGCGAGCGUUAAUCGGAAUUACUGGGCGUAAAGCGUGCGCAGGCGGUUCGUUAUGUCCGUUGUGAAAGCCCCGGGCUCAACCUGGGAAUGGCAAUGGAAACUGGCGGGCUAGAGUGUGGCAGAGGGGGGUGGAAUUCCGCGUGUAGCGGUGAAAUGCGUAGAGAUGUGGAGGAACACCGAUGGCGAAGGCAGCCUUCUGGGCCAACACUGACGCUCAUGCACGAAAGCGUGGGGAGCAAACAGG